rnacentral:rRNA from 1 species
GGAGGGUGCAAGCGUUAAUCGGAAUUACUGGGCGUAAAGCGUGCGUAGGCGGUUUAUUAAGUCAGAUGUGAAAGCCCCGGGCUUAACCUGGGAACUGCAUUUGAAACUGGUCAACUAGAGUAUGGUAGAGGAAAGUGGAAUUUCUGGUGUAGCGGUGAAAUGCGUAGAUAUCAGAAGGAACAUCAAUGGCGAAGGCAGCUUUCUGGACCAAUACUGACGCUGAGGUACGAAAGCGUGGGUAGCAAACAGGAUUAGAUACCCUGGUAGUCCACGCCGUAAACGAUGAUAACUAGCCGUUGGGGGGAUUUACCCUUUAGUGGCGAAGCUAACGCGUUAAGUUAUCCGCCUGGGGAGUACGGCCGCAAGGCUAAAACUCAAAGGAAUUGACGGGGACCCGCACAAGCGGUGGAGCAUGUGGUUUAAUUCGAUGCAACGCGAAGAACCUUACCUGGUCUUGACAUCCUGCGAACUUUCUAGAAAUAGAUUGGUGCCUUCGGGAACGCAGUGACAGGUGCUGCAUGGCUGUCGUCAGCUCGUGUCGUGAGAUGUUGGGUUAAGUCCCGUAACGAGCGCAACCCCUAUCCUUAUUUGCCAGCACGUCAUGGUGGGAACUAUAAGGAGACUGCCGGUGAUAAACCGGAGGAAGGCGGGGACGACGUCAAGUCAUCAUGGCCCUUACGACCAGGGCUACACACGUGCUACAAUGGGAAGGACAAAGAGCCGCGAAGCCGCGAGGUGUAGCUAAUCUCAGAAACCUUUUCGUAGUCCGGAUUGGAGUCUGCAACUCGACUCCAUGAAGUCGGAAUCGCUAGUAAUCGUAGAUCAGAAUGCUACGGUGAAUACGUUCCCGGGUCUU